GAUCCUGGCUCAGGAUGAACGCUAGCGACAGGCCUAACACAUGCAAGUCGAGGGGCAGCAUAAAAGUAGCAAUACUUGGUGGCGACCGGCGCACGGGUGAGUAACGCGUAUGCAACCUACCUAUCAGAGGGGAAUAACCCGGCGAAAGUCGGACUAAUACCGCAUAAAACAGGGGCACCGCAUGGUGAUAUUUGUUAAAGAAAUUCGCUGAUAGAUGGGCAUGCGUUCCAUUAGGUAGUUGGUGAGGUAACGGCUCACCAAGCCGACGAUGGAUAGGGGAACUGAGAGGUUGGUCCCCCACACUGGUACUGAGACACGGACCAGACUCCUACGGGAGGCAGCAGUGAGGAAUAUUGGUCAAUGGGCGGGAGCCUGAACCAGCCAAGUCGCGUGAAGGAAGAAGGAUCUAUGGUUCGUAAACUUCUUUUGCAGGGGAAUAAAGUGCAGGACGUGUCCUGUUUUGUAUGUACCCUGAGAAUAAGGAUCGGCUAACUCCGUGCCAGCCGCCGC
rnacentral:rRNA from 1 species